ACAGAAAGAGGAAAGUGCUGAGCUCUGAGUUCUGUCUCUCUCCAAAUUUCCCCAAAUGUUUCCCCUCAUGAGGGAGGGAGAGGACCCGUCUGGGCUCUGAAGUCUGGAACAGGAGCAGAGGCUGCCCAGGUAUAAAUGUACCAGGCCUUCCAGAGUUCACUCUGCCCAUCUACAGAAGCAGCUGAGGUGGGAGAGGACGGCAUGAGAGACAAGACCACCGUAUCAUUCCAGCCCCAAUCGGAGAGUCCCAGACAACAGCUCCAGGCUCUCAGCUGGGCCCUGUGGCCCGAGGGGGAAGGGAGCAUGGUGGGCAGGGAGGAACUGCCACCUGGAAGGGCUUGAUGGGAACCAGCUGGCUGGGGUGGGGCCUUGGGAGUGUGGGUUGCGGGGAGGGCGGGGCCGGAGGCCACAGUGGGCGGGCAACUGACAGCUCAGGGCUGGGAGUGGCUGCUGGAGGCCCCCACCUUCCCUGAGGCUGGAGUCCAGAUGCCUCCACAGCCGUCCAGGCUCUUCCAACCCGCUGACCUCAUUCCCAGCUCCCUCCCGUGCAGCCCCCCUCAAUUGUCUGCCACGUAGACUGGAGCCUCAGCAACAAUCUCCGUAGGGGUGGCUGCGAGAGGAGCCAGGCACACUUAGCCCAGGAAACCUGCUAAGCCGGAGGGAGCUAGGGAAGGUAGCUGUGACCACUCGGUGCCUCAGUUUCCCCUCCCCAAACA
rnacentral:lncRNA from 1 species